rnacentral:rRNA from 1 species
CCAGACUCCUACGGGAGGCAGCAGUGAGGAAUAUUGGUCAAUGGGCGGAAGCCUGAACCAGCCAAGUCGCGUGAGGGAAUAAGGCCCUACGGGUCGUAAACCUCUUUUGCCGGGGAGCAAGGGCGGGGACGUGUCCCGGCCCGGAGAGUACCCGGAGAAAAAGCAUCGGCUAACUCCGUGCCAGCAGCCGCGGUAAUACGGAGGAUGCGAGCGUUAUCCGGAUUUAUUGGGUUUAAAGGGUGCGUAGGCGGAAUGCCAAGUCGGCGAUAAAAUCGCGGGGCUCAACCUCGCUCCGCCGUUGAAACUGGCAGUCUCGAGUUGGAGAGAAGUAUGCGGAAUGCGCGGUGUAGCGGUGAAAUGCAUAGAUAUCGCGCAGAACUCCGAUUGCGAAGGCAGCAUGCCGGCUCCACACUGACGCUGAGGCACGAAAGCGUGGGUAUCGAACAGGAUUAGAUACCCGCGUA